rnacentral:tRNA from 1 species
GCUGUAUAAUGCAAGGCUUUCGAACCUGAUUUGUAAUCAGGGGGUCGCGGGUUCGAACCCUGCCGGGGGCACCA